CAAUAGCGUAUAUUAAAGUUGUUGCGGUUAAAAAGCUCGUAGUUGGAUUUCUGCUGAAGGCAGCCGGUCCAUGUUCGACAUGCGCAUCUGGAUUGACUUCGGCAUCCUCUCAGAUAACGAUUCUGUGCUUGAUUGCAUGGAGCGGAGUUUGAGACUUUUACUUUGAGGAAAAUAGAGUGUUCACGGCAGGCAAUCGCCCUGAAUAUAUUAGCAUGGAAUAAUAAAAUAGGAUCUUGGUUCUAUUUUGUUGGUUUCUAGAACGAAGAUAAUGAUUAAUAGGGACAAUUGGGGGCAUUCGUGUUAACGCGUCAGAGGUGGAAUUCUUGGAUUGCGUUACGACGAACUACUGCGAAAGCAUUUGCCAAGGAUGUUUUCAUUGA
rnacentral:rRNA from 1 species